GGUCGCUUGGAGAAGUGGUUUAACUCGCUUCCUUCACACGGAAGAGACCGCCGGUUCGAACCCGGCAGUGACCA